rnacentral:lncRNA from 1 species
AGGCAACCCGCGGGCCGAGACGGGGUAGUGAGGGCCGGAAGCCCGGCUCCCGACUCCGCUUCGUCCCCACAACCUCCGGCCGCCUGAAGUCCUGAGGGGCCGUGGCCCUGGGUCGUCUCCCCUGUUCCCAGCCUCCAGUCGCAGCUGGCGGAGAGAAGUUCCCGAGGCCCCCCCGACUUGCAAGGAGGCCGACCCAAGUCUCCCUGCUGUCAUUUCAGGAGGCCGAAUUUUUUCCCAAUCCCAGAGAAGGUGUCAGAGGCCUGCUUCCCUUUCCAUCUCCAGGGCUACUGAGAAAAUGUUGGACAGAGGAAGGAAGGCAGGGCAGGGCCAGGCUGCAGCUAGCAUCUGGACUGUUGGCUAAUGCUGGUGAUGGCGCAGAAGACCCUUGCCCCCUUUUACAGCUUCUCCCCUAGAAGCCUGGCCCAGAUGCCUGAAUUCCCACCUUUCAUGCACUUAGCCCUGGGGCUUGCAGUUUUGCCAGGUCCUUACUGCCUCCUCCCUCCUGUGGCCUGCCCGGAGGGGCACACAAGCAAAGCCAGUGCCUCUGUGGACAGGCAGCUUAAGACAUUAGGAGACAAAUGAAGGAAGGAGGCAAAACUUCCAAGGCCGGACUAUCUCCUCUGGACCAGAGUUUCGGCCUGCUGGGAAUGGAGUCACCAGCCCCGGGGGGGCUGACAGGUGGCUCCCGCCUACAGAGCUGUAACUCAUCCCUGCUGCUGAACAGGAAAGGGCCUGCCUUACCCAGAUCCCAUCCUCCGGAAAGGGUUAGUCAGGCAAGUGUGCUGAGAGGCCCCUGGGAACCUCGUCUCGAUUAACCCAUCAGAAAGCAGCCCAUCCUUUGCACCCAGCUCUCAGAUGGAAAAGUGAAGCCCAGAAGGAAGGGACCUGACACGGAGGCUUCCUUGGUAGCAUUUCAGUCUCAAGGGAAGAACUGUGGGCCUCCCCUGGAGCACUGGUGAAGUAAGGGGUUGGUUUGGAUAUUGUCUCCUGACUGGGAUAUGGGCAGGACUGACAGGGAGCUGGAGUCCUAACGAAGCCUGGGCUAGGUGCAGGAAGAACCAACCCAGUGGUCUCCUGACAUCUCCCACGCCCCCACCGCAGCUGGGUCACCUCCAGAAUACGGAGGAGAGAGCUGGAGGUGGAGGAACUAAGGACCUUCUUUGCCAGGUGGGGACUUAAAGCAUACAGUGAAGUUGUUCUCUGAAGUUCCUCAUCUGCCUUAAGUCUGGACCCACCAAAGAAGAAAACAAUGACCACUGGUCCCUUCCCGGAGUUUUCUCUGACUGAACUGCUGUCACAGGAAGAAAGACUGAAGCCUGCUCACAUACCUGGACAGAUUUUGCAAACCGUUGUCUGCUCUGUGAGCCCAACAGACUUUGUCCCAGGCCACUGUAUGUUCUUCAAGCCCACUGAAUUCCCCUGAAAAUCAUUUACUAGCCCCCUGAAAUUACCCACACUUCCCCAUUGCUCAUCUGUACCCCAUUUCGUGGUGGGGCAGUCACUCUGAUUUCCCCUUGCAUGCUAAUGAAUGUGUAUUCCAUUUCUAUUCUGCUUUCAUGAGCUGACUUUUCAGUGAACCUUCAGAGGGUAAAGGGGAAGUUUUCCCUUGGCCCCUGCACCGCAAUUGGUAAGGUCCAAAAUGUUAAAUGGAAAAUUCCAGAAAUAGCUGGUCGUGAUGGCUCCUGCCUGUAAUCCCAGCACUUUGGGAGGCCGAGGUAGGUGGAUAGCUUGAAGUCAGGAGUUCGAGACCAGCCUGGCCAACAUGGUGAAACCCUGUCUGUACUAAAAGUACCAAAAUUAGCUGGGCGUGGUGGCGCACGCCUGUAGUCCCUGCUACUUGGGAGGCUGAGGCAGGAGAAUCACUUGAACCUGGGAGGCAGAGGUUGCAGUGAGCAGAGAUCGCACCACCACUCCAGCCUGGAUGACAGAGUAAGACUCCGUCUCAAAAAAAAAAAAAAAAGAAAAUUCUAGAAAUAAACAAUUCAUGUUUUAAAUAAC